UGCAGUCGAACGAACCUUCGGGUUANUGGCGCACGGGUGCGUAACGCGUGGGAAUGUACCCCUGAGUGAGGAAUAACGUANAGAAAUUUGCGCUAAUACCUCAUAAUGUCUUCGGACCAAAGAUUUAUCGCUCAGGGAUCAGCCCGCGUCAGAUUAGAUGGUUGGUGAGGUAAUGGCUCACCAAGUCGACGAUCUGUAGGGGGUCUGAGAGGAUGAUCCCCCACACUGGUACUGAGACACGGACCAGACUCCUACGGGAGGCAGCAGUGAGGAAUAUUGGACAAUGGGGGCAACCCUGAUCCAGCCAUGCCGCGUGAGUGAAGAAGGCCUUAGGGUUGUAAAGCUCUUUCAAUUGUGAAGAUAAUGACGGUAGCAAUACAAGAAGCUCCGGCUAAAUUCGUGCCAGCAGCCGCGGUAAUACGAAUGGAGCAAGCGUUGUUCGGAAUCACUGGGCUUAAAGCGUAUGUAGGCGGAAAUGCAAGUCAGGCGUGAAAUCCCGAGGCUCAACCUCGGAACUGCGCUUGAAACUGCAUUUCUAGAAUCCUGGAGAGGUUAGGAGAAUUCCGAGUGUAGAGGUGGAAUUCGCAGAUAUUCGGAGGAAUACCAGUGGCGUANGCGCCUAACUGGACAGGUAUUGACGCUCAGAUACGAAAGCGUAGGGAGCAAACAGGAUUAGAUACNCUGGUAGUCCACGCCGUAAACGAUGUUUGCUAGUUGUCAGGUCCAAAGGAUUUGGUGACGGAGAGAAAUCAUUAAGCAAACCGCCUGGGGAGUACGGNCGCAAGGNUAAAACUCAAAGGAAUUGACGGGGACCCGCACAAGCGGNGGAGCAUGUUGUU
rnacentral:rRNA from 1 species